rnacentral:lncRNA from 1 species
UUGUCAGCGCAAAGAGGGAGAGAGAGGAACAGAGAGGAACAGAGAGAGGAACAGAUAGAGGGAGAGAGAGGAACAGAGAGGAACAGAGAGAGGGAGAGAGAGGAACAGAGAGAGGGAGAGAGAGGGAGAGAGAGGAACAGAGAGGAACAGAGAGAGGGAGAGAGAGGGAGAGAGAGGAGGAGAGAGAGGGAGAGAGAGGAACAGAGAGGAACAGAGAGAGGGAGAGAGAGGGAGAGAGAGGAGAGAGAGGGAGAGAGAGGAACAGAGAGAGGGAGAGAGAGGAACAGAGAGGGAGAGAGAGGAACAGAGAGAGGGAGAGAGAGGGAGAGAGAGGAACAGAGAGGGAGAGAGAGGAACAGAGAGAGGGAGAGAGAGGGAGAGAGAGGGAACAGAGAGGGAGAGAGAGGAACAGAGAGGGAGAGAGAGGGAGAGAGAGGAACAGAGGGAGAGAGAGGAACAGAGAGGGAGAGAGAGGAAACAGAGAGGGAGAGAGAGGGAGAGAGAGGAACAGAGAGAGGGAGAGAGAGGAACAGGGAGAGAGAAGAACAGAGAGAGGGAGAGAGGAACAGAGAGAGGGAGAGAGAGGAACAGGGAGAGAGAGGAACAGAGAGAGGGAGAGAGAGGAACAGAGAGAGGGAGAGAGAGGGAACAGGGAGAGAGAGGAACAGAGAGAGGGAGAGAGAGGGAACAGAGAGGGAGAGAGAGGGAGAGAGAGGAACAGAGAGGGAGAGAGAGGAAACAGAGAGGGAGAGAGAGGAAACAGAGAGGAAGAGAGAGGGAGAGAGAGGAAACAGAGAGGGAGAGAGAGGGAGAGAGAGGAACAGAGAGGGAGAGAGAGGAACAGGGAGAGAGAGGAACAGAGAGAGGGAGAGAGAGGAACAGAGAGAGGGAGAGAGAGGGAACAGAGAGGGAGAGAGAGGAACAGAGAGAGGGAGAGAGAGGAACAGAGAGAGGGAGAGAGAGGAACAGAGAGAGGGAGAGAGAGGGAACAGAGAGGGAGAGAGAGGAACAGAGAGAGGGAGAGAGAGGAACAGAGAGAGGGAGAGAGAGGGAACAGAGAGGGAGAGAGAGGAACAGAGAGGGAGAGAGAGGAAACAGAGAGGGAGAGAGAGGAAACAGAGAGGAAGAGAGAGGGAGAGAGAGGAAACAGAGAGGGAGAGAGAGGGAGAGAGAGGAACAGAGAGGGAGAGAGAGGAACAGGGAGAGAGAGGAACAGAGAGAGGGAGAGAGAGGGAACAGAGAGGGAGAGAGAGGAACAGAGAGGGAGAGAGAGGAAACAGAGAGGGAGAGAGAGGAAACAGAGAGGAAGAGAGAGGGAGAGAGAGGAAACAGAGAGGAACAGAGAGGGAGAGAGAGGAACAGAGAGGGAGAGAGAGGAAACAGAGAGGGAGAGAGAGGAAACAGAGAGGGAGAGAGAGGGAGAGAGAGGAACAGAGAGAGGGAGAGAGAGGAACAGGGAGAGAGAAGAACAGAGAGAGGGAGAGAGGAACAGAGAGAGGGAGAGAGAGGAACAGGGAGAGAGAGGAACAGAGAGAGGGAGAGAGAGGAACAGAGAGAGGGAGAGAGAGGGAACAGGGAGAGAGAGGAACAGAGAGAGGGAGAGAGAGGGAACAGAGAGGGAGAGAGAGGGAGAGAGAGGAACAGAGAGGGAGAGAGAGGAAACAGAGAGGGAGAGAGAGGAAACAGAGAGGAAGAGAGAGGGAGAGAGAGGAAACAGAGAGGGAGAGAGAGGGAGAGAGAGGAACAGAGAGGGAGAGAGAGGAACAGGGAGAGAGAGGAACAGAGAGAGGGAGAGAGGAACAGAGAGGGGGACAGAGAGGGAGAGAGAGGGAGAGAGAGGGAGAGAGAGGAACAGAGAGGGAGAGAGAGGAACAGAGAGAGGGAGAGAGAGGGAGAGAGAGGGAACAGAGAGGGAGAGAGAGGAACAGAGAGGGAGAGAGAGGGAGAGAGAGGAACAGAGAGGGAGAGAGAGGAAACAGAGAGGGAGAGAGAGGAAACAGAGAGGGAGAGAGAGGGAGAGAGAGGAAACAGAGAGGGGGAGAGAGGGAGAGCCCCUUUAGGGCUAAGCCCCGGGUGUAUAAAAUGUUUGGCUGCGGCGCUGGUUCAAAUUCACUUUAUUGGCUGAUGACACUGCUUUAA